GAAAUGCGAUAAGUAAUGUGAAUUGCAGAAUUCAGUGAAUCAUCGAAUCUUUGAACGCACCUUGCGCUCCUUGGUAUUCCGAGGAGCAUGCCUGUUUGAGUGUCAUGUUAAUAUCAACCCCGUCGGUUUGUAAAUCAAACCGUUGGGUGUUGGACUUGGAGGUUCUUGCUGGCUGCAAAGUCGGCUCCUCUUGAAUGCAUUAGCUUGGGCCUGUUGUGCGUGCUCGCGGUGUAAUAAGUUUUAUUCAUCGUUUGGGUCGUACACUUAUUGGGCUUGCUUCUAACUGUCUUCGGACAAACAUAACCUUUGACUCUGACCUCAAAUCAGGUAGGACUACCCGCUGAACUUAA
rnacentral:misc_RNA from 1 species